rfam:Picea glauca, whole genome shotgun sequence.
ACAUUCCUACAACAUAGUGUUAAUGCAUAAAAUCACAUUAGAACUCUGCAGUUAAGCACACUCACGCUAGAGUAGUAUUGGGAUGGGUGACCGCCCGGGAAGUCCUAGUGUUUGACAUGCC